rnacentral:rRNA from 1 species
UACGUAGGGACCGAGCGUUGUCCGGAAUCAUUGGGCGUAAAGAGCUCGUAGGCGGCUUGUCGCGUCGGCUGUGAAAACCCGCGGCUCAACUGUGGGCGGGCAGCUGAUACGGGCAGGCUGGAGUUCGGUAGGGGAGACUGGAAUUCCUGGUGUAGCGGUGAAAUGCGUAGAUAUCUGGAGGAACACCGAUGGCGAAGGCAGCCCCCUGGGCCAACACUGACGCUCAGGCACGAAAGCGUGGGGAGCAAACAGG